GAAACAAGUAGCCGACAGCGUCAUGCGAGAGGAAGGUAUUACGCUGCGACCUAAGUUGAUAGUAGAAGGAUAAUUUGGGAGCAGGGGCAUGUAAGAACCGAAACUCGAGCAUCACGCUUUUCCAAGUGAAUAGCACAUGCAAAAACUUGGGCGCUGAGUGUUGAGCACGCGGUGAGAGUGGCGGACGGGCGAGUAACGCGUGAGCAACCAACCUUGCACUGGGGGAUAACGUCGGGAAACCGGCGCUAAUACCGCAUGACAUUACUGGAUCGCAUGGUCUUGUAAUCAAAGCUCCGGCGGUGCGAGACGGGCUCGCGUCCAAUUAGCUAGUUGGCGGGGUAAAGGCCCACCAAGGCGACGAUUGGUAGCCGAACUGAGAGGUUGAUCGGCCGCAUUGGGACUGAGACACGGCCCAGACUCCUACGGGAGGCAGCAGUGGGGAAUCUUGCGCAAUGGGGGAAACCCUGACGCAGCGACGCCGCGUGAAGGAAGAAGGCCUUCGGGUUGUAAACUUCUUUGAUCGGGGACGAAGCAGACGGUACCCGAGGAACAAGCCACGGCUAACUACGUGCCAGCAGCCGCGGUAAUACGUAGGUGGCGAGCGUUGUCCGGAAUUACUGGGCGUAAAGGGCGUGUAGGCGGGGGUAGAAGUCAGGUGUGAAAUACCGCGGCUCAACUGCGGGGAUGCAUCUGAAACUCUGCUUCUUGAGUGUCGGAGAGGAAAGCGGAAUUCCCAGUGUAGCGGUGAAAUGCGUAGAGAUUGGGAGGAACACCAGUGGCGAAGGCGGCUUUCUGGACGACAACUGACGCUGAGGCGCGAAAGCGUGGGGAGCAAACAGGAUUAGAUACCCUGGUAGUCCACGCUGUAAACGAUGGAUACUAGGUGUAGGAGGUAUCGACCCCUUCUGUGCCGGAGUUAACACAAUAAGUAUCCCGCCUGGGGAGUACGGCCGCAAGGCUGAAACUCAAAUGAAUUGACGG
rnacentral:rRNA from 1 species